rnacentral:rRNA from 1 species
UACGAAGGGGGCUAGCGUUGUUCGGAAUCACUGGGCGUAAAGCGCACGUAGGCGGAUUUUUAAGUCAGGGGUGAAAUCCCGAGGCUCAACCUCGGAACUGCCUUUGAUACUGGAGAUCUUGAGUCCGGAAGAGGUAAGUGGAACUGCGAGUGUAGAGGUGAAUUCGUAGAUAUUCGCAAGAACACCAGUGGCGAAGGCGGCUUACUGGUCCGGAACUGACGCUGAGGUGCGAAAAGCGUGGGGAGCAAACAGGG